UUGGAUGAGGUGCUACUGGUUGCACACUUGAUUGUGAUUCAAGCUGUUGCGGGUUCAAGUCCCGUCAUCCAAG
rnacentral:tRNA from 1 species